AUUGAACGCUGGCGGCAUGCUUUACACAUGCAAGUCGAACGGUAACAGGCCGCAAGGUGCUGACGAGUGGCGAACGGGUGCGUAAUGCAUCGGAACGUGCCCAGUCGUGGGGGAUAACUACUCGAAAGAGUAGCUAAUACCGCAUACGAUCUAUGGAUGAAAGCGGGGGACCGUAAGGCUUCGCGCGAUUGGAGCGGUCGAUGUCAGAUUAGGUAGUUGGUGGGGUAAAGGCUCACCAAGCCAACGAUCUGUAGCUGGUCUGUGAGGACGGCCAGCCACACUGGGACUGAGACACGGCCCAGACUCCUACGGGAGGCAGCAGUGGGGAAUUUUGGACAAUGGGCGCAAGCCUUAUCCAGCAAUGCCGCGUGGAGGAAGAAGGCCUUCGGGUUGUAAACUGCUUUUGUACGGAACGAAACGGCUCUGGUUAAUACCCGGGGCUAACGACGGUACCGUAAGAAUAAGCACCGGCUAACUACGUG
rnacentral:rRNA from 1 species